CAACUCCUUAGAUUCCAAAUACUCACUUCAACUUCCAAUAAAUCCUUCAUAUUAGCUCAAAAUUCAUCAAGAAAUUUGCUUAAAGUAUAGCUAAAAAAGUGCUCUUUGUGACUCCAAUUGCCAAUCCUCUAUCGUAUUCUAUAUGCAUGUGUUAUAUCCAAAAAAGUGAUAAUAGAUACAAAACCAACACCCUAACUUUGAGCACCCAUAUCUCUUUCAUAUAUACUCCAAAUGACUCAAAAUUUGUACCAAAAUCAUAGCCAUAAACCUAAACUUGCUGACCUAAGGCUCCAAAGCUUGAGUGCCUCUGAGAAACUAACCCUAAUCUCUAAUAUGGCCU
rnacentral:lncRNA from 1 species